rnacentral:rRNA from 1 species
AUAAUACUCCAUAGAUUAGAGACACUGGAAUGUUCUUUAGUCGAAAGUUCUGGCGCCUUAGGAUGGAUCUGCGGUCGAUUAGGUUGUUGUUGGGGUAACGGCCCAACAAGCCUGUAAUCGAUACGGGUUGUGGGAGCAAGAGCCCGGAGAUGGAAUCUGAGACACGAUUCCAGGCCCUACGGGGCGCAGCAGGCGCGAAAACUUUACAAUGCAGGAAACUGUGAUAAGGGAACUCCGAGUGCCCGUAUAUGCGGGCUGUCCAGGUGUUUAAAAAUCAUCUGAAGAAAGGGCCGGGCAAGACCGGUGCCAGCCGCCGCGGUAAUACCGGCGGCUCGAGUGGUGGCCACUAUUAUUGGGCUUAAAGCGUCCGUAGCUGGACCGAUAAGUCUCUUGGGAAAUCCGCCGGCUCAACCGGCGGGCGUCUAAGGGAUACUGUUAGUCUAGGGACCGGGAGAGGUGAGAGGUACUCCGGGGGUAGGAGUGAAAUCCUGUAAUCCCCGGGGGACCACCGAUGGCGAAGGCAUCUCACCAGAACGGCUCCGACAGUGAGGGACGAAAGCUGGGGGAGCGAACCGGAUUAGAUACCCGGGUAGUCCCAGCCGUAAACUAUGCGCGUUAGGUGU